rnacentral:lncRNA from 1 species
AAACUUCCCACAUUCUACUUGCACAGAUUCUGUCCUUACACCGUACAGUGAAUGCGCAGUUAACCACACCUACGAGUUUCUAUUAGGAAAAACGCAACACUGCAUCCCUCUUGGUUCUCCACCGAAACGCAGCCGCGAUGUCUUUAACUGAGACGCCGGUCAAAGCCUCGAGACUCUUCCCGGAGCUCCGUAAAGUUCAGGAAGGACGAAUCCGCGCAAGAGGAAGGCUACGAAGAGGCCGCGGCCAGCGCGGGGGGGGACGGCGACCACGCGCGCCCGGGGCCGCCGGGAAACCAGCCCCUGGCAGGAGCCCCGCAGCCUCCCGCCCGCCUUCACUCGCUCCGCCCAAGGCCUCCGUCGGGUUCCGCGCGCAGAGCACCGGGGCGGCCCACGCUUCGGAGCCUGUGACGCCGCCGUCGGGGACUCGGCCCCUCGGCGGCGGCGGGGCGGGGGGUCCCGGCUCCCGAGGCGGCUCCUCCCGGGACCCCAAGCCGCCCAGCGAGCCGCCGAGAGGACGGGCGGGACGCGCCCCCCGCAGUCCCACCUACCCCCCGACUAGGACUCGGCCACGUCCGCGGCCCCCGCCCCCGCCCCCCGCAGCCCCACCGCAGGACCGCCCCGCCGCGCGCUCACCCCGGCGCUCCGGGCGGCUACGGAAAGCGAGAGGAGUCAGGCCGCCUCCGGGCCCCGGUCCGCGCGCCCCGCAGCCCCGCCCCGCAGCCCCGCCCCGCCUGUGUGCCCGCCGCGCUCGGGGCCCUGCCGGGGGGAGGGGCAGGCGGCGGGGCGGGGCGGGGCGGGGCGGGGCGCGCGCCCUGCGAACUCCUGAGCGCGUCCUCCUGCCUCCGCCCGGGCGCCGUGGGGGUGCACGGAAGCGGCUUGGAAAGAAGGGAUCCGCCUGCGCCCCGCGAGUCCCCGUGCGUGCAGCUGCCGCGGACUCUGCCUCGGAUCACGGUCCGAAGGGCGCUGCGCAGGAGGACCCGACCCGCAGACGCCCCGUCGCCCUGGGAUGGGGGCCCCCGGGGUGUCGCCGAGUGCCGGGGGCGGGUUCGCCGCCCUUCCGGGGCCGGGGGCCCGAGGCCGAAAGCGCCCACUGGCCGCGCGAAACUGGACUCGCAGCCGCAGUGAGGGACUCACCAGGUCCCGGCGAGGGGACCAGGAAGCUCCCGGGGCUGCAGCGUAGUACAGGGGACGACGAUGUGAUUGGAUGA